rnacentral:rRNA from 1 species
GUACACUCCUGCGGGAGGCAGCAGUGGGGAAUAUUGCACAAUGGGCGCAAGCCUGAUGCAGCCAUGCCGCGUGUAUGAAGAAGGCCUUCGGGUUGUAAAGUACUUUCAGCGGGGAGGAAGGCGAUAAGGUUAAUAACCUUGUUGAUUGACGUUACCCGCAGAAGAAGCACCGGCUAACUCCGUGCCAGCAGCCGCGGUAAUACGGAGGGUGCAAGCGUUAAUCGGAAUUACUGGGCGUAAAGCGCACGCAGGCGGUCUGUCAAGUCGGAUGUGAAAUCCCCGGGCUCAACCUGGGAACUGCAUUCGAAACUGGCAGGCUAGAGUCUUGUAGAGGGGGGUAGAAUUCCAGGUGUAGCGGUGAAAUGCGUAGAGAUCUGGAGGAAUACCGGUGGCGAAGGCGGCCCCCUGGACAAAGACUGACGCUCAGGUGCGAAAGCGUGGGGAGCAAACAGGAUUAGAUACCCUAGUAGUCCCA